rnacentral:sRNA from 1 species
GCCAGGUGUGGAGGCUCACUCCUGUAAUCCCAGUAACCUAGGAGGCUGAGGCAGGAGGAUCACAAAUUUGAGGCCCACCUAGGCAAUCUAAAGAGACCCUCAGCAACUUAGAGAGACUCUAUCUCAA